GGGGGGAGGCUGGAUCCUGGGCUGUGUCCCGGCGCCCUGUGCUCCGGGGCCUGCGCUGUUGGAUUCGUGCUCCCUGAGCGCGCAGCCCCCU
rnacentral:pre_miRNA from 1 species